rnacentral:rRNA from 1 species
AUGGAAGACAACCUUAGAGUUAUUUUCUGGAACGUGCGCGGGCUCAAUAAUGCGGCCAAGCGCGCGGCUGUCCGGCCUGUUAUUGCCUCGGCCUCCCCCUGUAUUGUUUGUCUCCAGGAAUCUAAACUCGCUUUGGUCUCGUCGGUGCUUGUUUGCGAGACCCUCGGCCCUGCCUUUGACAAAUUCUUCUGGUUGCCCGCGGAGGGCACGCGCGGCGGCAUCAUCUUAGCGUGGAAUAGUGAUCGGGUCGCCCUGUCGAACCCGUCCAUUGGAGAUCACCACGUCUCUGCCGUAGUUACCGCCACCGCUGGUGGCGCCCACUGAUGGAUCACUGGCGUUUAUGGCCCCCAAGGGGAUGAUGCUAAGCUGGCUUUCCUUACCGAGCUUCAACAGCUCCGAUCUACUAUGGCCGGGCCUUGGCUUUUGGAUGGUGAUUUUAACAUGAUUGCCUCGGCCAGUGACAAAAGCAAUGACCGCACUAAUAGGCGCACGAUGAACAGAUUCCGACGUUUUAUCUCGGAUCAUGGUCUCCACGACAUCUACCUCCAUGGACGGCGCUACACUUGGUCCAAUGAGCAGGACAACCCGACCCUGGUCCAUAAUGACCGUGUGCUAUGUACCCCGUCAUGGGAUCUCGACCACGCUCACUGCCUCCUGUGUUGUCUGGCGUGCAUGGGUACACAGAUCUAG